CUUUGAGGCUCCACAGGCCAAGCCCAGAGGGCAGAGGUGAGACACAUUGGCUGCCUGUAUCUCUCGACUGUCUUGUGUGGAGUAUGACGUAAGGGGUUUCAUCAUGUUGUCAUCAGAGUCUUAAACAGUUUAGCCAAUGAUUACAGCAGAGGAAUAGCAGACUCCUAGCUGUCACAGAAACACAGCUGGAAAUUCCCUAGCACAAACAUACCCUCCAACAUUUCCUAGAUAAAAAUAGAUAAUCAGUGUUUUCCAUGAAGAAUGCAUCUGCACACUGUUCUCAAAUGCUUCUUUCUUCCAUUUUUCAUUUCUUUUACAAACUGUUUCAGCACCACUGGUGCAGUGCAGAGCAUUUAUCACUUAUACUGCCUUAUACCAUGUCAGACAACAGGUCCAGUGACUCUCCAGGGCGUCAUUUAAGAGGCCAUCCCAGUUCUACUGCCUGAGAUCUUUUUUGGCACCUUUGGCAGGCAAAAAUAUGCCUCUACCCACUGAAUGAUGGCAUCUCUGCUUGCUUCAAAACACGCCUGCCCACAUGCCCUGUGGCCAAAUAGAUGCUGCUAGCUCAAUACAUUUUGCAGCCAUGAACAGCUGUAUCUGAAAGGCAAGCCCCAGAAUCUAUAGCAGAGGAUGUUGGGGGGGACGACUCACCUCUCAAAUCACAUGCUAUUUUAGCACUCUUAAAAAUACUGUAAACCCCUUCCCCUCCCCAAAAAAAAACAAAUUGCCACUCACACUGCAAAAAAUAGAUUCAAGUAAUUGCUGCUUUUUGUACUACCAGAGAUAGUGCCUCUGUGGCUUCUCCAUCCCAACAUGCCUGUCACCUUUUGCAGAAAGCCACAAGCUUCGCCUAAUUAGCCAGCAAAGGAAUUCCUCCAUUAUCAUCUUAAGACUGAAAACAAAUAGCAGCAUGAGCUCUGUACCAUGCCCUCUCCUAGAAACACUGUGGGUUGUUGUUGUUCUUUAAACAUCCAGUCAAAGAAAUAAUUCUAUACAACUUGAACACACAUUGCAUAUAGCCAUCAGGAAAUGAAGAAUAUGGGUCAAAUUAUAGACGCAUUUCUCAUGUCUUGUUAAAUUUUUUAAAGCGCAAUUGCGAGGAGAGGGUAAUCAACCAGUGCAUGAGAAUGGUUAAGCUUUUCUCUACACUGUGGUCUCACUGAAAAUCCCCUCCCAGCUGCUAUUUGCUCUGGGAGGGAAGCUGUCAUUGGCGCCAAAGGCAGCUUCCUUAUCAAGGGAAAUAGAACCUUACGUGGUAGCAACUUUCAACAUGGCCACAGUGUGAGGUCACAGUGUGGGGCCACUUGUGCCCAAAACAUGCCAACUUAAAAAAGCUUUUGCAUGCCACUCCCAUGUUAAAAUGCUCGUGCAGUUUAGAUUCUAGCCUGUAAUGAGAACCGCAAGAGCCACCAUUUGGUGGCCAUUGUUAGUUUCAUUAUUAACUGCACUGAAAUCAGCAGGGAAAUGGGGAGCCAUGAGAAGUCUGAAUUUAGAUCUGAUUCCACAUUUAAUUACAGAAAUGGAGUGUGAGUGUUUACAAAAUCAGGCAUCCUAGUUAUGUUAUAUUUAUUUUGGUAAAAAAAAAAAAAGCAGCAAGUUUCUGGUUCUAAUGGUUCUAAAGACAGGCCUGAAAAGUAUGCGGGCAAAAUCCUGAUGAAAUUAGAGUAGCUCAAUAAGCUGGAGAUGUUGGGAGCAGGAAGCUGAGUAGUUAUGAAAUUGGGCUCCUGCACCUUACAUAGCUCCUUCCCGAUAACUAACAGGAGGAGAAUCAAUUAUGCAAAGUAAGCAAAAAUGUGUGCACGUUUGUUAAGAUUAUCAUUUACACAGUUGCAGAUUCCAGUUAUUCUUGGCACAUCAUGGUUUUUUUCCUGAAGCACUGAGCACACACAACCCUGUUUAUAUUGCAGCCAACUGGUAAUAUAAUUUCUGUAUUUACAAACUGAAACAAGAUUGAGGAGGCUCUUUGAUGGCUGCCAGUGCAAUAAGCUUCCCCCGCAGUCUCUUUCAAGCGACUCAAAGCUCUGUUAUGGAACUGAGCUGCCAAGGCUAUCCCCAUCCCUGCCUCUUGCCAAACAAUCCCACAGAGUUUGGCUCUGUGGCGCACAACAAAACCAGUUUGGAUCAUUGAAGGCAGGCAGGCUAGUGAAUCUUCAGUUGGGCACAUGCACAUCCAUGUUUAACAUGGCACUGUGGUCAUGGAAACCACCCGUCUUGUUAGGAUUCUGCUAGACUUGAAAGAAUGUUGGACUGUGGAAAUUUUCCAAGUGGAACUAGCAUGUAAAAAUAUGAUUAUAUAUCCUCCUACUUUGAUUCAUCCAUGCCCUCCCCACUCCCAGCAUUCCCAUUCAUGCAUUGUGCAAACUGGAUUUGGGAGGUAAGAAUGCAGUUCAAAUGCUAGGGCUUGUGUUACAAAAGGGGGGGGGAGGGGAGCUUAAAAUGCUAUUAGUAUCCCUCAAAGUCAUUAAGAGAAGAAAGCAAAGUUUAAAAUCCUACUGCAGUAGCUCAGCGGCAUUUUGCACAUCAGCUGAAAUGCCAAUGUCUAAGACUUUCUUGGUUGCAUACACACCACACACCAUACAUUGCUUCUCACCUGGGGGGCGGGAAUACCAUGCACUGUAGUUUCUCCCUCACAGAGCUACAAUUCCUGGCAACCAUUAACAAACAUUCUAUGAUUCUAUGAAACUACAGUUCCAAGGAUUAUUCAGGGUGAGGGAAUGCGUUAUAAAUGUAUGUUGGGUACAUAGCCUCUGUAAAGGUAAAGGUAAAGGGACCCCUGACCAUUAGAUCCAGUCGCAGAUGACUCUGGGGCUGCGGAGCUCAUCUCACUUUACUGGCGAAGGAAGCCGGCGUACAGCUUCCGGGUCAUGGGGCCAGCAUGACUAAGCCGCUUCUGGCGAAUCAGAGCAGCGCACAGAAACGCCGUUUACCUUCCCGCCAGAGUGGUACCUAUUUAUCUACUUGCACUUUGAUGUGCUUUCGAACUGCUAGGUUGGCAGGAGCAGUGACUGAGCAAUCGCAGGGAUUCGAACAGCCGACCUUCUGAUCGGCAAGCCCUAGGCUCUGUGGUUUAACCCACAGCGCCACCCGCGUCCUUAGCCUCUGUAUCUACCUUCAGGUUAAUUCACGCCAUCAUUUUGACACAGUGUCUGGAUCAUCUGGGAUUUGGCCUAGAAAACAUCUGGUCUGAGAAAGAACAUCUGGCCUGUGCCCCACUGCCCCUUCUGUUGAAGAACAUGAAGCUACAGAGUGGACGAGGAAGAACUGUGAGUGUGCAUAUGAACUUACCGUAACAGUGUAUAGUUUAAGACUGUUAAGUUCAUACAAACACACUCCACACCCCCAUUACUCUAUCUUUCCUCAAAUCAAAUGAGGAAGGAGCAGUAAUCGUUCUCCCAGAUCCCAGCAUAGUUGCAUCACUCCUCUUCCAUCACCACCUCCAGGCAAUGCCCUUGGUUCCUCCUGACCAGGUCUGGCUACAAAUACCGGUACUUCAGGGUUAAGGCCUGAUUCUUUGCCCAGGCUGCAGCCAUUAUUUACUGUGGCUUUCUAAUUUUGACACAGGCAUCAAUAUUCAUCCCCUGCCUUCCCAGCUCCCCAUCCCAGACUGCCCAGUGUGGUAAAGUGAAUAGUGUUGAGACUUGGAGUGGGGGGAGAUGGGUUCAAAUCCUUACUCCAUCAUGAACAGGGUGACAUUAGGCCAACCACUAUGCCAAAAUACCAGCACACUUUCUCAUCAGAUGGAAAAAAGGGCCCCAAGCCUUGAAACAGGCAGGGAGAACAGUGCGUGCCAGUAUGCCACCUCACAGGUCACAGUUUUCUGCGUCUGGGUUCAGGCAGCUGUGAAAUUUUUUUUUCCAGAAUCAAGUAACAUGGAAAUGAGCUCUAGAUUUGCGCUAUAUUCCAUUCCAUUCCAUUAGUAUUCUGGAAGUGACUUUUACAUAAUGUAAAAGCUCAGAUUUAAUCCGCAAAAUAACAGUUAGGGAAACGUCAGGGAAGCAGAAUAAACUGCAGUGUGAAUGCAGCCUCUGUAGGCGGCACCUUCCUGUGCUCUUAACAGAAGAUGGUAACUUCAGAGAUAUGACUAUAUUUUUAAUAAUAAGAACGCCUUAUUAUAACACACUGUAACAAUCUGACCAUUAAUAGGUUAAAAGUAGAAACUCUUAUUAUGGGCUACAAUAAGACUCAGCCCAUUAACCAUUUUUCUUUUUAUUUAGUGUAUUCCACCUAUAAAUGGCAUCAUAUCCCACAAUACAGUCUCAUUUAUAUUGUUACAUGUGGCCAUCCGAUAACAAGGUAUUCCUAUAAAAAAUAGGAGGAUUUUUAAAAAAACCAAACCAAUAAUGCUUAAAAAAACCCUGCAAAUAUUCACAUCAUUCAAAAUGUAUGAACAAUUAAAUUUAAAAAUCUAAGAGGCCAUUGAGAAAAAUGCAGGGAAUGCAAGCUGUUUGCUAAAAGACAAAGCUAGCCAUAAAACUCUAUAGUUUGAUAGGGGAGUAUCUUCCCCACUCAAUGAGUUCUGUCAUAAAUGGUACAGACAACCAACUCAGCAAGUCCUUACUGUGGGGAAACUGUAUUGCUUGGGUAAAGCAUCCCAGGGCCCCUCCAGACCGGUGUUUUAUUGUGGCUGUAUUCAGCAACAUGUUCUAGACAGAAUAACAGUGCAUUAGUGAUGGAUUUUAUUCUGCUUUUGUUUGUUCUGCAAAGGCAUCCCCAGUGUUACCACAUGAUUGCUGUUCAGAGAUGCCAUAGUAUAGCAAAAACAGGAUAAAAAUAAAGCAAAGUAUUUGUGGCAUAAAAAGUUACAGGAUUCCAGCAGGAAGUUACAGAAUACGUGCACUGACUGGCAAUGCAAACACCCCCAAAACUUUUGCAGGUAAAAACAGUAUUGAAAACAGAAUUGUGUGUGACCACCCUGAGAGCAUAACGAGCACAAAUCAUCAGGAACCACAAUAAAAAGGAUGUCUGGAGGGUAGCACACUUUGGCAGAAGAAAAAUCUUAACACUUUCAUCAACACAGAGAAUGAAACAAAUUCAAUGUAGAAAACCUUACCACCCAGCAAAUACGGUAAAUUGCCUGUUGGCCAAUGACGUCUUCUCUCACACAAAUAUAUUUUAAUCAUUGCCUAUCACUAAAAAUGACAUUUGCAUUCAUGGUGUCCAGAUUAGUAAGAGUCAACCCAGUUGGAAAAAAUGGCUCUCUUCUGCUUUCUAUUCCUCACAAACAACCUUCAUACAUGAUUGUGAAUAACAAAGGAGAAACUCAAAGGCAUUUGUAUUUCUGACAACGUCAUUAAUCAUCCAAAAACUAAGUGACAGGAAGAAGGUUUUGCUCGAUGGGCCUUGAACUUGUAGCAUUCUCUAGGCUCACAUCCAAGAACCAGUCCAAGCCCUCUUCACCUUCAGCCUUUUCAUGUCUGGCAAGCUGAAACACUGGCCUCCAAGCGGCAAUACAGAAACCUAGCCAGCAGCUGAUGUGCCUGAAUCAGCAAAAGCAAACAGAACAUAAAGCCACAUGUUGAAAGACAUUUAUUAAACUGAUUUCCCCUUUAUCCAGACCCAAGAAUUUGGAGAGCAUCCCUUGAAAUUCCAAUGGUGAAGCUCUGUGUUGAAGAAAAUGAAGCAUUUCUUAUUACACACAAAAUAAAACUCGUAGAACAUAUUGCCACAACAUCUUGAAAGGCCACUAGCACAAAUAAGCAAUGGAUUAAUACAUUUUUUGAUUUUCAGCUACAGUCAUAAUAACCAAAAGAAUAAUCUUCUUGGUCAUAAACAGGAUAUCUCCGACAUUUCUGAUAACCAAAUGUUGGGAGAGUAUAUGGUAUACAGGAGUUUCUCUCUCUCUCUCUCUCUCUCUCUCUCUCUCUCUCUGCAAGAUGGCAGAGGAUGGAAACUAUUAUCAUGAACUAAUGUCCCUUUGGAAUCUAAUUGCCUAAAGUUGGGACAAGGGAUGUGAGAGGGGAUGGACUACUAGCCUGACCCAGCAAGCAAUACAUACUGCGGGUGGAGGAUACCAUUUGUUAAUUCUCCACUAUGUUAAAAAUUCAUUGAGAACAAAAAAAUCAACAUAGUAAGCAAAGGACUAAGUUAGACCAUACCUCCCUGAUGUGUUUGUUUUCUGUUCAAAGGGGAAAAAAUUCCAUGGCAUUUAGAAAUGGCAACAACCCACCCACCACAGUCUGAAUUGGUUUGGUCUACCAGCUCAAUUAUUGUCCCAUCUCAUUACACUGCAUGUGUAGACUAGGCCUCUAAAACAAAGCAAGGAGUGUGGCUCUGUAUCUUGGUGCUGACUCAGUUCUCAAUAGGUACCACUGAGUCCCAUGGAACAAAAUUAACAGACAGCACUGUGAGACACAGCUGUCACUGAAGCCACACCUCAUCCAAAACAUGAGGGUCUCCCAGAGUAGGGGGAAGCUUUAGCCAUCCCCUCAGUAAUGUCUCUAUGUACACCACCCAGGACUUUCUCCCAUGUCUGUGGAGGUCUUCAACCACAUCACUUUAAAUAUUCAUAUUGCUUUUUUUAAUUGUAUGCUAUUGCUUCUUUCAUUUUUACUAUUGUGUUUCAUUGUAUUGCAAUUUGAACUGCAUGAAAUUUAAACUGCAAUGCAAGAAAAUACAGUACAUAAGAAAUAAAAAAAAUCAAUAAAUAUACUAUCAAAACCUGGACAGCAUGAAGCACAGCACAUUACAGUUGCCACAACAGUGCAAUUCACUUGCCACAGCAGGCAGAAAAAUCAUUAAGUGGUCCGCCAAGACUCUCUGAAAUUUUCAAAUGGAUCUGGGUGUGUGGAGAGUUUGGGAAACACUUGUAGAGUAGAGUAUUGCCCUUGGGGGCAAUAUAAUGGCUGGGAUAAAUAAUAACUACAACCCCCUGACAGCCUGUGGUGAAACGCAAUCCACACCCACAAGGUCUCUGCAAUAAACAUAACCAUCCCCUCCACAUCAUUAUUAUGGGUAUGUCUAAUAACCACAAACAACAAUGGAAAAGGUGAGCUAUACAUGGAACAAACAAAUAAAUAACCACAAUUUUUAAAGACUCCUUUGGGGAUUUUCCCUGAAACAUUAGUCCCUUGUACGCUAUAUUUCAUUAUCCACAAUAAAUCCACACCCCUGAACAUAUUAAUGAUGGAGGGAUUUAUUCUCAAAUACCCAAACAAAAUCUAAACCAUGACAUUUAUGUGCAAAAUGGGAGACUCACUCUUCAAACAACAGCAGCCUCCGUUCCAGUCGUAAAGCCCAAACACUCAACACUGGUGCUGGCAGAGUGACAUUGUGGCCAUAAAUCUCCCAUCAUUAGAGACUCUUUGCUUCUCAUUUACAGCAACAAGUGCUCAAGGGCCAUAAAUCCCCAUCCUCUUUUCUGAAAAGGCCCAUUUGAGAUGCUUCAGUGAGGCCGUGAUUAUUCACCAACAACUUGGCUUCCUUAGAGAAAAUGUGACGGUCCAUCUUGAAAAGGGAAUAAGAGCAGUUAGUUACUACCAGCCAUUCCCCUACACAAGAUCAGUAUGAGAACAGACAACCUCAUUUUUCCAACAGAAUCACUGGGUUGGGUGAAAACAAGUCACUGGUGUGGGGGGUUAUAGCUCAGUUGCUGAGCACGUGAGUUGCAUGCAGAUGAUCCCAGGUUUCAACCUCUGGCAUUUCCAAGUAGGACUAGAAAAAAGACCUGUCUGAAAUGCUGGAGAACUGCUGCGAGCCAGUGUAGCCAAUACUAAGCUAGAUGGACCAACAGUCUUGCUUAGUACAGGUAUAACUCAGCAUAAGGGAUAAGGUACCUUCCUAAGUGUGGGUUACCAGGUAAAAAGUACCUGCGUUAUUGAAACUAAGCCAGUGUGGGCUUGAUAAGUUUCUCAGAUAGAAACAAAGUGGGGCCUCACGUAAAUAUUCUCUGCUUUCCAAGGAAGAGCAAGAUAUAAAUAGAAUGCAUCACCUGAAGCUGUGUUACUGGAUUUUAAAACAUGUAAAUAGCAGGUGCUAUUUAACACACUAUAUUGAAAAUAACCCCUUCAUGGAUUGCUGCCUUGCCGUGGCGAAGGGGCUUGAAUAACUCAGAGAAGCUAUGAACUAUGCCGAGCAGGGCACCCAAAAUGAACAGGUCAUAGUGGAGAGUUUUGACCAAACAUGAUCCACCUGGAGGAGAAACCGGCAAGCCACUCCAGUAUCCCUGCCAAGAAAACUCCAUGGACAAAGACAACAGGUUUGACCAAACUGCGGGAGGCAGUGGAAAACAGAAGUGCCUGGCGUGCUCUGGUCCAUGGGGUCACGAAGAGUCGGACACGACUAAAUGACUAAACAACAAAAUUGAAAAUAAAACUGCCAAUAUCAUCUUCCCUAAGCACCUCCCCCCCAUACCCUGCCACUACCAGACUAUGGCAUUCCUAUACAUGAUAUUGUAUAUAUCUUGCUAUAUAAUAAAGUUGGAAGGCUGUCAUUACACUGCAAUAGGCAGCCAUGGCAACUCUGUGACAACAGAACAGACAGGCAAGCAGUACAGGUGGCAGAACAGCCCAGGCAAGUUGUUUAAAGGAGUGGCAAGGUGCUCAAAACCUUUGGUGAGACAAUACUGGGAAUUCUGUGUAUAGUUCUGGUCACCUCACCUCAAAAAGGAAAUUAUAGAACUGGAAAGGGUUCAGAAAAUGGCAACCAAAAUAAUCAAGAAGUUGGAAGAAGUCCCCCUAUGAGGAAAGGUUAUAACAUUUAAGGCUGUUUAGUUUACACAAAAGUGAGUAGGGGGGCGUGAUAGGUUUAUGCUGUGGAGAAGAAGAUAUGUUUUUCUCCCUCUCUCAAAUAAUGCUAGAACACAGAGCUAUUCAAUGAAGCUGAAUGUUGGACGAUUCAGGACAAAAUACUUUUUCACAUAGGCAGUGAUGGGCACCAGCUUCUCUGUCCACUUUCUCCAUCCUUGUUCUUCUCCCAGUUAGUCUGAGUUAGCUUCAGUACGUCAAACAAACUGUUUGUUACUUGGUAAAAGUGGGUUGGAAAGAGGAAUGGUGGAAAGGGAGGUUUAGCCUUAUAUUUUAUUAAGAAUUUGUUAUAUGUAUAAACUGAUGAGGAAACAAUAGAAGUUGGAUUUAAAGGGGGGGGGGGAGAGCUUCUCUUGACUGGCAUCAAGCUCCCCCUCGCCACAAGUGCUGCUACUCAACAUGCUAUUUUCCACCAUGAAGAAUCAUUUAAGAAAGAAAACAUGACUUCAGGAAGAGGACUCCACUGUCAGAAGUUUGCCCUCCUUCCAUAAAAAAAAUACAAGUUGUGUACCCCUGAAGGUAACUACAGUGCAGGCAACAUAGUAUUGAGGCAGCUCCCCCAAAACAAAAUCACAGAAUCAUAGAAUUGUGGAGUUGGAAGGGAUCAUGAGGUCAACUAGUCCAACCCUCUGCAUUGCAGGACUCUUCUGCCCAGAACCCAUGACCUUGGGACGAAGAAUCUUAUGUUCUACUGACUGAGCUAUCAAGAGGAUAGUAAUAACCCUGACAGAAGUACCUGACGCCAGUAGCCUUUAGUUAAGUCAGCAUAGGGAAGGGUACAAAACUGGGCUAUGGAGCAUGGUAGAUUUAUUGUUUUAUUAUUUAUUUUGACUUUAUAAUAAAAAUCUUAGCAUGAUUUUCAGGAACUGCUUGUCAUUCCACUGGCAUAAACAAACACCCACCUUGAUCUAAAUCAGGCUGACACCCAGGAAACUGCCUCAAGCCUUACUCACUGACAAAGCAACUUUGUGGAGAGGCGGGAGAAACAUGGGAACAGAAUGUGGAGGUGUCAAAACUAGGGGAAAGGGUUGUGACCUCAGCGAUAGGAGGAUGGAGUUGGAAAUAUAUCUAGACACCCAGAGAGGGUCCUUCUCAAAGAAGCCCCAGGCAUUUGCUUUGGAAGCUCACAACACUUGGGCUAAAAAGAUCCCAUUAAUUCACUGUUUCCUUACAUUUGCUUAACUGCCUUAGAUGUUUGCCCUAAAGAUAUUAAAUUGUUGCUGCAGGGGGAAAGAAUACUGGCUUUCCCCUUUGGGAAGCAGAGAAUGCCAGCUGGAAUAAUAAAAGCAAGACAAAGGAAGAGAACUUUAAAUUAAUCUUGGGACUAAUUACUGAAGCAUUUGAAAGGCACAUUCCAAAAGUUAUCUGGGCUGCAAUUAAGAGCUGCUCUAAGCUGCUUCCCGCUUCAGACUAUGCUGUCAUGCUGCACAAUAGGAAUAAUAAUAGCAUUUACCAUUUGUAUGACACUUUGAACUCUCUAAACUUUAGUCUAAAGUGAAUCACAUAUAUUAUCUCAGUAAUCCUUACAAUGGAGCUAUAAGGAAGCCCUGCAUUACUAUAUUAUUAUUCCCAUACUGUGCAUAAGGGUCUGAGGCAGAGAGAUCUUUGUUUGCCUAAGGCAACCUAGUGAGUUCAUGGCAGAGGCAGGAUUUAGCUUCCCAUUUUAAUGGGUGCUUCCUGGUUUCUAGUUCUGCUUGUCAGUCACUAGUGCAAUAAGAACACACUCCCUUCUCCCUUCUCUCGUGCAUCUUAAUGGAAAACUUCCAGGUUUCAUAAACCACAAUUUCCCAUGAUGUCCAAAUCCUGUGGUUUAAACUAUUGAUUACAAACUAGCACAGUUUAAUCUGGGUUUUCAAGCCAAGAUGACAGUCAGAGUUUAAAGCAUAGUUCAGAUAAAGAGAUUGUGGUUUAACAGACCCUAGAUGUCUCAAAGUGAGAUAGAUGCACAAUGGAGGAGAGAAGGGAAGAGGAGGAAGUUAUGUGGGCAGAAUUCAUCAGACUGAUAUUACUACAUCUGAAUUGGGUCUAACUCUCAGGAGUUAUUCCAAGCCUCUUCUCCAAAGACAGAAGGAACCUCCAUUCCUGCCCAAAUACUGGAAAGGAAAUUUUAAGGGCUGCCACUAUACAUUUAAAGCACACAACUCCUGCCAGAGGAUCAUGGGAACUAUAUUUUGUUAAGUGUGCUGGGAAUUGUACAUUACUUUUCCCAAAACUAUCCCCAUGUGAUUUAAACGUACUUUAAAUGCACAGCGUAGAUGUAAUGAAGUAUAGACCUCCAUCCAUGUAUGGUGCCUCACAAGGGACUUCACAUAUCACCUGCCUACCUGGGACUGGAUUGGGGAAAAGGAGUAGUGAGUAACUGCCAGGCCACAAUGUAUGACUGCUGGGCUGUGUUCCACUGGAGGGCUGUGUUCCACUGAAUUCCACUGUGUUCCACUGGGCUGUGUUCCACUGAAUUUGUGGUACUGAGACCACAAAUUCUGCAGGUCUCAGUAAACACAGCUGAGCAAUUUGGUCCACAAGGCUGCACAAUGUGCGUGGGGCCAACAAGGCCCAGCUCCCUGGAAGUUGGUAUCCACAAGGAGGGAUUGCAUUGGUCCCCGUGCCACACAUCCUUGCAAGCAGUUAGCAAAGCUUCACAACCUUCUCAUGACAGCAGUUCCUUUAGGAAGCCUGUAUUGUCAAAGGGUAGGAAAUGUUUCAACAGCAAGAGGCCAAACUGAAGGCAAAUCAGGACUUCCCUUGCCUGCAAAGAUGCUUUUGCAGCCUGCCUCUGAGCUUUGGGGAGCUUUAAAAUCCAUCUUUAGUUUUUUCCUUGACUGAACAUAUGCCAAGGAAAAAAACACCCAAAAAACACUUUUCAGCCUUGAGAUACAGAAUGAAAAAUUAAUCCCCAAUAGAAGACAAAUUUCCCUCACUGCUCUCUCUCACUCUCUUCCUUUCUCUCAUCUAGGUUUAACAAGGGUUUGAAAGUUUUUUCUCUCCCCCCGCGUGCCCCCGCAUUGCUGAUGCUCAGCCUGAGUGAACCAUUUAAAAUCCUGCAUCCUGCCGUUGUUCAGCAAUUCCAUGAACCUGAGUUGUAAUGUAAUCUUGUGGACCUUAAUUGUUGAGCUGUGAAACACAGAUUAAUAGCAUCUUAAGGGAGUUCUCCUCAAGGGUAGAGUGGGGGGGGGCAGAUGUCAAGCUCUUGUAUAUGGAAUUCCAAGCAUUUUGCCAGAGCUAAGGCAGCAAGAUACCAGACACAUUUUAUUUUUACAUAGGCUAGUUCAUGGAUAAUACCAAGGAUUGACAGUGAAUUGUGAUAGCAAUGCUGCAAGCAAUGGCUGCUCCAUGAAUUUAUAGUGGGCUGCUCAUAACCCCAAAAAUCAUUAGAAUUUUGGCUGGCAACUUCAGAUCAAUGUGAAAUUCACCUUCGCUUCAUUUGAACCUGGGUAGCUCACUUUCCUGGCCUUGUGCUGCUGUUUCCCUAUCCACCCCCCUUCUUACCCAUAACCCUGAUUCUUCUUCACCUUACAACUCAGUGGUACUUUAUUUCCUUGAACUCUAAGCUUCCACCAUCACACAUAUCCUUCCAUAUCAGGGUGGAAGGGAGUAGAUAAAAGGAUGGAUCUCUAAAAGAAAGUCACAGCAAGAUUAUUAUACAGAGAAACCUAGAGGAGUAGGCAUUGCAUUCUCCGGAGAAAAGCACUAAAAGGACCUGGGGACAGAGCCAGCUGUGCCACUUGUUUUCCUAAGCAAUGUACACAGCUGAAAUGCAGCAAGUCCAAGGCCCAUGUGUUCUUAUACAUGAUGACAGCCACCAUUAAGGGGAAAUUAUGCCAUAAGAAAGGCAGUGAUCAGUAGGCCCAUAUUUCUGGAAAAGAUUGGAAAGCAGGGCAAGGACAUUGGAUAAGGACCAAGGUGUUGGCUUUAGGUGCUGCAGUUGAUGCAGAAAAUACAAGUUGUCUCAAGGGUGUCUUUGAGCAACCUGCAAAGUCUGGACUAGGGAGUCAAGAUGGAAGCCCCACAGUGUGAUUGCAGUAUUUGGCCAGUGAAAGGACUAUUGGCUUUUUCUAGAUGGUGGGGUUUCCAACUGUGGGGAUAGCUUUGCAGAAAGCUCCUCAAGACACUCCUGAUCCUCAGAGGAGUCUACAGCCAAGUCAUCAGAAGCUGGUGGCAGAGGUGUUUCCUCAGCAUUCAGUGUUGAGAUGUGGGCUCCAACAGAUUCACAUGGGAAGAGGAUCUGCUGUUGUUGGUGCACUUGGCUUCUACGGAUUUCUGGUCCAGAGCCAUAACACCAGCAAGCAGCCUGAUACAAAAUGUGAUCUUUCCAACUUAUGCAAUAAUUCAGCACCACAGACAGCAGCAUUUCAUACACCCAGCCUGCCUUGGGAGGCCGUGUUCCCUCUUCCAAGUCCAUUUUGCAAGCUGAAUCCUGAGCUGGGUUGGGUGACUAUGACUCAGUUGCAGGAGAUCCAAAUAUUUUCUCUCUUGCUAGCUUGACUAUUACCUUUUGUGGAGAAAUCACAUUUGCUAAGCAUUCAUACCACAAUAUUUGGUCACUGGGAAAAUUCCCCAGCAUUCAAGGCAUGCUUUGUUGCUGCAAAUUUAGAUCUGACAGUUUGUUCCAUCCUCUUUUCCAAACCAGUACAGCUGCAGGUUGUGCUGUUUUCCAAUAUAAACUUAUCAACCAGCUAGGAUUUUACUAGUUCAUUACAAUAUAUGCUUUAUCAGGCAAUGGGGUCUGAAAAGCUCAUAAAUCUCAGAUCCUGACAGAUGCUGCCCUAACUUCUCCCCAAACCCUCCUGGUUUUGCACCACUUUCACCUGCCUUGCUGCUCAUACCCACCUAGGCGACUCAGAGAGCCAGUAUCAAACCAAAGGAUGCUGCCUAAUACUGAGUCAGACUGAUAUGCCCUCUUGCUUAGUAUUGUUGACACUUACUAGCAGCAGUUCUCCCUGAUUUCAGACAGGUUGCAUUCCCAGCCCUACCUGGAUAUCCUGGGGAUGCUCUACCACUGAGUUGAAACCCUUCCCCAGUAACUGGAAACCCUAUUCUGAGCAUUGGUUUAGGAGAGUCAUGAACAAGUUACCAAACCAGUAAGGCUGGAACUGCCUAGCAACUGGAACCUCUGGGAGGCUAAGGAAGAGAAGUCACCAUCAGUGUCCUCCCUGGGGCUUCUCUUUUUCUACUGCCAGCCUCCUUUGGAGGACAGAUGAGGAGACCAACACUGAUUUAUCUAGUGGCCUGGUAAGAAGACUUUACUCCCUUUGUUUACUGUCAGUUAAGUCCAGAGCAAAACGAAAGCUAUGCAUUAAGUGUAGGUUAUUUAUUUGUUAUAUAUAAUUUAUUCUGUGUUUGCUGAAUUGUUGGUUUUUUUCCCUAUUUGAAAACAUUGCUGUGUUUUGUCAGUGGGUGUGUCCCCCCCCCCAAAAAAAUAUAUUUUGAUGGUAAUUGUGAAUGUUUGUGGUAAGCUGCUGUGGGCAUGGCACACUGUGGGAAAGCAGCAUGUGAAUAGAAAAAAAAUAAACCUAAGUAGUUUCAGCAGGAAAGGAGAAGAGAAUUGAAGUGAACUAGAAAAAUCAGCACAGCAGCCAAAUCCUGCUAUUCAAACCCAUUAGGAAGUUGGCUGGGUAUUGGUCAGUGCUUGGAACGAUCUCGUUUGGUUCAGUGAAUUUCACUAAAUUGGUUCAAAAAUAUCUGAACUACCCAUGAAAGUAGUUCCCAUAGCUGCUGCAUGAACUGAAUGUGAAUUAAGUUUGGGGGUAAAAUGAUGAACGAUUUCUUAUUCCUCUUCAAAUUAAUUCUCUUGCAUGUGGUUUUUUUUUGUAUGCCUUUAGACUCUUUGGGCCUUUACAGCUGAAAGAUCAUAAUUGUUGGAAGGGGGCCUAAAUUAAGCAACCCACAUCCGUGUGUGUGUGUGUGUGUGUGUGUGUGUCUGUCUGUGUGUGUGUGUGUGUUUUACUGUUCUCAUACUUUAUACUCCAGGAUAGCAGCUUGUAACAUUCUAAAUGCUGAGAAUUUUUUGGGCAAAGAUCAUUUGGGUAAACAUUUGAAUUGAAAUGUGAGCCAAACUAGUUUGUUUUCUAAAGGGUCGAACUAUUAUUCUAUGAGUCUACAAACUGGAAUUAGUUGAGGGUUUUUUCAUAUUGAAACAGAACCAGUUCCUUUAAAAAAGAAGAGCUCCCCAAGUUCUGGUACUGGUGGUGCUGGCCAAAGGUGCAGCCCCACUUUAGUGGCAGCCCUCAGCCUCUUUUCCUUUGCUUAUCCUGACAGAAAACUGCCUCUGCUGGCUGGUUGAAGGGGCAGCUGCAUUUCGUGACAUGCCAGAUGCCUCGUUUAGAUCUUCCUCCUGCUUCCAGGCCAUCAGCCUAAGUACAGGCUGGGUCACAACACUUGGAAGAGCCUGUCAGUGGGGUUGAUGUGGUGGAGAAGGGGCGUCUCAGGCUGCAUUAGAGAGAAGACUCCCUCCUGGGCAUGCUAUCCUUUCUGCUGUAAACCCACCUCCUUCGGCUCCCUGUCAAGGAGACAGCAACUUGGAUUUCAGAAAUAGCCUUGCUGUUUUGCUUAUGGGUAGUGGUUUUUUUUAAAGGAAAAAAAGGAUGAGGGUAUCCUGCAUAGUAGGCCCUGCCCACCCCCUGCCAACAGCUAUUAUGAACCCCUCCCCUGUCCCAGUGGUCCACAAGAUCCUUCCCCCUGCAGCUCCCUACAAUUCUAUCAGGGUGUUCAAAUGUCAAGACUGCCUUCAAGCCAUUAAGACGUAAAGCAGUUAAUAAUACUCACUUAUGUAUUCAAGCUUCUCAAGCCCAAGAACAACAUACAAAUUCAGGCAGCCAGGAGGACUAAUAGCUAUGACACACACCCAUCAAUGUGCACACUGACAGGGAACAGAACCAAUAUUUCAGCCCCACAGCGCCAAGCUGCCUGGAAGCUGUACAUCAGGCGGUACUCAGAUGCAUUUUAAUUCCUAGCCUUUUGGCAUAAGCCUGUUUGCGGCGGUGGGGGGGGGGUGUUUUGUUUUUGUUAAGUGGUUCUGUAUAGCUCAUGAGCAGCCAAGAGCCUAGAUAGAAGUUGGCUUUAUGUAUGCAAAGUAUAAUGAAAUGAUAGUACACAGAGAUGGAGCAUAAGGUAAGGCAAAUGGGCUUCCUAACAGAGUGUCUACAUGGAGACUUCGUGGAUGGGUUUCAUUUGACACUCAGAACCUUCUUAUAUUCAUGGAGGAUAAACUAUCAAUGGCUAUUAGUUGUGACGGCUAUAUACUACCUCCAGGAUCAAAGGCAGCAUUCCUUUUGAUACAGGUUACCAGGGAGAGGACAGGCUGCUGUGCUAGACAAACCUUUCGACUCAUGCAGCUGGGCUCUUAUGUACUUAUAGUAAUAAUUACACGAGAGCAUAAUAAUACAUGAUGUUAUUAAAAUGCAUAAUAUCAUACAUAAUCUCUUAUGUACUUAAAAGGCAUAAUUAUUGUUCCGUACUUAUCGUGCUCUUAUGCACUGAUUAUGCUGUUAUGUACAUAUGGUCUUAGGUACUUAGACCACAUAAGACUGAUUAUUAUAAACACAGAAUGCUUAGGGAUAAGAAACUCAUAGGGUGGUUAAUGAGUAGGAAAACCAAAUUACAUUAAUGUCUGUGAGUGAGCUGGGGAUUUUAAUGUACAUUAACAUUUGUGGCCACAGAACCAAUAAAACCUUUGUGCACAAAUGAAUGUGAGGUACCUGAUGUCUUGUAUAGAAACAAGAUGCAGGCAAGUGUCCAAUAAUACACCAACCACAAUUGUUCUGGGCAAACUCUGUGGGUCUCUUGAUUCACGCUCAAGACAUGGAAACCCUGGCAUUACAGCCGUGGAAGAGAGCUCAUGGUGAAAGGACACCAAUUUUUAUUUAAUUUUUUUGGGAGGGGGAGAGAAGAGCUGUGAAAUGUCACUGCCUUGGGCCCAUGCACAUUGCCGAGCCUUCUCCUCGCAAAGGUUGCCAUGGAAACACACCUCACCCAUAUCUAGGCCUGAACUUGUGCUCCCGGCGUCCUAUUAAGCCUUCCCUUGGGGUUUGGUAGCCUGGGAAAUUAAUUCCUGCAUCUGAGGGGAAGCUCGGGGCUGCUGAAAAGGUUACAGUAACCAGCUGAGACUAGUUGGUAGUGUGGUGCCCAUUUGCUUGAUUUCUAAAAUGGAAGGCCCACAAAUCUAAAUUCCACAAAGAAAUUGGAUUCUUUUCACAUAGGAACACAGGAAGCUGUUUUACACUGAGUCGCAUCUUUGGUCCAUGUAGCGCACUACUGCCUACACUGACUGGCAGCAUCUCUACAGGGUUUCAAGCAAGGAACUCUCCCAGCCCUGCAUACAAAGCAGAUGCUCUGUCACCGAGUUGCAGACCUUCAUCUUCACAUCUUAUUCCAAAUUUUCAGGGGGUUGGCCAUGCUUACUUAUUAAUAAAAAUGAGAUACACUGAGCAUAUACCAGAAAGGUGCUAUUUGUUGCCUUAUGAAGUUGCAGGCUGAGCUCUGGGAUCAUAAACAAAAACAUGGAGGAAACUCAGGAGUUGUUUUCUACAACUCUGUCCAGGAAACAUGCCCUGAUGGACUCAUGCCAGGAAGAGGGGGAAUAGGUGGAAAUUGAAUGCCUUAAAAACAACCUGAAGCAGCAACAUGUCAGGGCCUUGAUGGAGCAAAUUAUGACAGUAACAGAGGUUCAUGGUGACUGGACCAGCUGGCACCAAACGGAUCAGAUGUUAUUAGCAUAUGUAAACACCAGUUAGCACAGGAAUAUUUGCAUAUACCAACUCCCCCAACCCAACCCAAGAGAGGAUUAAGCUGUAUGAUCAUUUAGAUGGAAAUGACUUGUAAAGUAAACAGAUCUUGGUCCGUGUGGAUUUGAAGCGUCUUGAUACUCCAUAGUUAAGCUGUAUGAAGCUGUGCCAUAAUUGCUAGCUCAAAGUAAAUGGAUUCUGCUUUGAACUGUGAGUGCUAAUCCAUCCAGGGCAAGUGACCUCUCCGAGCUUCUCUCUUUUUAAGAAUCACAGUGCUGAAAGGGACCAAAAGAUAAUCAAGUCCAAACCCCUACCAUGAAUAUUCACACACUAUCCACCACACUCAAGGCAGAGGCUACAGGAUGCCACCAGCAGAGAACAGUUGCACCACACAGAUUCUCGAGUGAAUGAACCAAUCUAUGUAGUACUGGAAAAAGUAAAAGUAAGGCAGAGCUAUUUAAUUCAAAGCAAGUAAGCUAAACCACAUUGUAUAUAAGAAAUUAACUCUCCCCCCCCCCAAAAAAAAACCUGUUCCUCUUCACAUAUCCUCUCUCAUGAUAUAAUGGCUAGUUCCAUGGAAACUUGUUGUGAUCAACACUGCAUCUAUGUGCUCAGAGGCACACUUCUCUCCAGCUGACCAGCAUGUGCUGAGAAAACUGCCCCACAAAAUUAUUGCAAAAAGGAUUUAUUAGAUGUUGGCUUCUGUGGGGAGGCAUUUUUGUGAAUGGAUAUUCUUGAGUUCUGCUGCCUGGCUGGCAGCAAAGUAAAUUCAGAGUAUGGGGUCAAACUCCUUAUUCAUAUAAAUAAAAGUUACACAACAUGUAUUUCCACCCUCUCCCCUCCCCAAAUCUAGCCACUACUUUCCCCAACAUUGUUGCAUUUGGGGGAGGGGACAGGCACCAACCUAGAGAAGUACAUUCUCCCUCUGCCCUCAGCCUGGGAUACAGUGUGGAAAAGAAAUUAAUGGUCUAUAGUGCCCUUUGGGCAGGUGAUAGGAGAUGAGAAUAGCAGACUGUUAAUUCAUGACUAUUGAACCUUACUGUAAUGCAACCUUCUCUUUGGCUUCUUGCAAAUGUCAAGAGAAGGGUGACACAAGAACCAAUCUGUGGGCACUGUGCUGAGGCAGAGCACACAAGGGUCCUUUAGCCAAAUCAAAGCCUUUCUGUGAGAUGCAUGGGAGGGGCCCAUAUUUAUGUCCAGAUCCUGUCAGAAUAGAACAUUCUUUUAAAAUAUCUUCUCUAGCAUUUGCAAAAAAAAUGCUUUGCAAUCCUUGUAUCAAUGAUGCUCACUAUGUUAUCACAUCCAUCUAGAAUAGCUCAGUUGGUAGAGCAUGAGACUCUUAAUCUCAGGGUUGUGGGUUCAAGCCCCAUGUUGGGCAAAAGAUUCCUUCACUGCAGGGUGUUGGAUUAGAUGACCCCCAUGGUCCCUUCAACUAUAUGAGUCUAUGAUAGAUGGGAAAUCAACUCCAAGAAAGAAUCUGACUUGCAUAGGUAAUGCCUGAUUAAAUAUGAGAAGGUGAGGAUAAACUAUUCAUAUCUGUCAAGCUGAGAAAGAGUCCAUGAGGUAAGUAGAACUACUAUCCACAAAGAGACUAGUUCUAGUGUAUAUAUUUUAUUUUUUUGCUUAAGUCUCGACCCAGUUGACCCUGGUGACCGAGAAGAGAAAUAUUUUGCUGCUGAAGUGAUCAUGGGAAGGAGUAAUGUCACCUCCAGACAACUAUUCUAUACUGACACAUUAUCCACUCUACCCUGUCCUCGUUUGACUCCACCCAGUCCUUUGUUUCUGUUCUUGCCAUCUGUCCUCCUCUCCAUAUUUCUUUUAAUGGAAAUUAGUUGCACUACGAUGGACUACCACCCUGCAUGCUCUUUAGAAUAAGCUAUAGCACUAUAUCACCCUGGCUGGGAUUCAGCAAGAUUAAGCCCCAAUUUGUAAAGCUUCCCAAAGUUAUGGAGAAAUGCCCCCCUCUUUCCAGAAAAAAUAUAUGUUUUAUUUGGAGUUUGUGAGGUCUUCCUGCCUUGUCCCCAACCCCAUGAGGUUCACUCCCCACUCUCCUCCACCUGCGUCUGAAAGGUUGGAAUCCUGCAUCCAAAUGUUUUAUCCUCUCCACCCCUGUCAAUUGUCAGCAUGCCAGGUUGCAAGAGGCUUUCACACAAUUACUGCGCACUCCCCCUCUUUUUUCAAGCUGGAAGGUACGUAGCUGCAUUAUGGUGCAAUGCCUGCUCCCAGAGAGCCUGACCCACAGAAUGACUCCCAGAGCAUGCUGGAGAGAGGAGGAAAGCAAGUGAAUGAUGAGGGUGAGAGUGAAUUAGUCAGCAUGGACAAGAGAGAUGAAAAAGCAACUAGCGGGAAGGACCAAUGGAGCACGUGUGUGAGAGAGAGCAUACGGACAUACGCACGUACGCCUACUCCUGCCUCUUUUUAAAAAACAAUUUUAACUGAGUAAAUUGCCAGGAUGCCCUAGCACAAACUUCUCUCCCUUCCCCACUCCUUCAAGUGUAGUCAGCUGUGCACCACCGUUACACUUUUAAACAGCUUUAAAGGCUAUGCUUGCUGUGCUAAACCUUUGCUUGUUUCCAUCCCCCCCCCAAAAUGGCAGUAGUCAGCAUCACCGUGAAGUACACCACAAAGAAGCAAAAUUAGUUCAGCACAUUACCAGGGCUAUAGCACAACAAAAGCAGAACCCACACCCUCCCAAAAAAAUAAUAAAUCAGAAUGUUUGUGGUACAAAAUCUUACAGGUUUCCUGCAAAAAGUUACAGACCAUGCAUGGCUUGUGACAGAUGCCAUGAGACCAUCCAGAAAGGUAUUGAAGGUGCAAAUUGACUUGGAACAUGACCAUCCUGAUACCCUGAAGAGUCAUCUUGUGCAUUAAGAAGGACCCUGUUACUGUUUGCAGAGGCAGCUGUGGUCAUUAAAGGGCAAGAACAGUUCAUUAUGUUAGAAAAUAGUGGUUUCAAUGAAGACAAUGCCCUCUUUCCACCCUCUGCAAGGAGCUACACAAACAUAAAUAGCAGGCAUCUUGGCUGUCAGGGUGUCCCAAGUGGCAUGAAUCUUUCAGGGGACCCCAAGCCACUGCCUGACAGCCUCCAUCUUCCAGCACUACUUGUGAUCCAGAAACAAUUUUAGCCAGCAGCCAGCAAUCUGAAAUCUACUCUGCACUAGCCAGAUUUAAUGUGAUCGUGGCUCCUGUUCAAAAGCAGAGCUGGAGAAUAAUGCUAGUCAAAUUUGACAACUGAGGCACAGUUUUCAAGUUUGACUUCCUUGGAAUUCCGAACAUUUUUCAAAUUCUGCUUUUGAAAUUUAAGUAGCUCUGACAAACGGAUGCUUGACAGCAUUGCCUUUGAUUAUUUAUGUUUUCCAGUAGUAUCCCUACAAUGAUUCUACAUCUUAUUUCUUUCUUUUCCUUUAGAUAUUAUUGAAAAUAAUUUGAAAAGUUGCACUCUAGUGUACUUUCCUUAAAUACAAAAGGCCACAGUCAUUUGGCAUGGUGCUCAAGACUGCUGGAGGAUACCAUGAAAACCAAAAACUACAAUCCCCAUCCCCCAAUAUUUAACAGCUUGCUCUAAUAACUGUUCACUUCCCCUACAAUGGUAGGUAUAAAUAAAACAUUUGUGUCCUACAUCUGUUACUUAACAGAAUCCAUAGAAGGAAAGGUUGAAAAAGAUUAUCUAGUUAAGAAAAUAUAAAUUAAAACUUUUUGCGAUGUGAUUCUCAAGCAAAUUCUUUUCCCCAAUCCCAUUCAGCUCAAUUUAAUGACUUCAGGAGUACUAAUGCUGCAAGCAUUGGUCCUGCUGUUAGUUGCAAACUAGGGAGUUUCCUGGCUACUACAAUUUUGUGGGUGGAAUUCAAUCACAUACCAGCAAAUUCAGGUUGCACAAUAAAAGUGGAUUUGGAGCUCUUGUGCAACAAACCCACUUCCCUCCCCAAGCUCAAAAAACCUGAACUUUUUGCAGCAAGGAAAGGGACAGGAAAGUGCACUGGAAAGUGUUGGAUAACAAUUGCUUGUUGAAAGAUAUAACCUCCUCACAAACAAAUCUCAAUGAAUGCUCCAUAAACAGCCAAUGUCGUACGUAUAACCUCCCACAAACGUCAUGCAAACCAAUCAGAAUGAAUGCUCGACAGGCAGUUAGUUUGGAAGCUGGUGGUGGUUUCAGGAUGGAAUAGUGGAAGCACACAUACUUCUCAAAAUUGAAUAUUUCGCACUAACCAGUUUUCACACAGUUGUAUUAGUUGAUGUCACUGGCACCUCACAGUCUGAAGGGCUGACACAGUCCUAGAGGUAAAUCAGGGAACUGCCUGGGGCACCAGAAAUGCCAGGGGCUCUUGCCUCAGCUAUGUUAAUGUCUUGGAGACAGAACUGGAUUGAUCAAGUUUUCUAAUGCAUGCUUAUAUGUGAAGUGAAGUGUCUAAAGUAUGUUAGCUGAUGGUGCCUAGAAUUUAAUCCAAACCUGUGGAGUAGAGUGGUAUGAUCAGUGCUAUUUUUCUAGAAAAAGAGGUGCCAUAACUCACCAUGAACGCCUUCCUUGUUCUCUUAUAAUGGCAAUGGUGCCCACCUGAGAGGUGCUGGAACUGAAUUCCAGUGAGUUCUGGCUGAAAAUAAGCCCUGGGUAUGAUGGUCCAAUUAUUGAAGUUAAAAAUAAAAAUAACAUCCCAUGCCCAUUUGAUGUUUUACGGUUAUGCUGCUCAGCCUACAGUAAGUCACAGGGGAGGGGAGGAUUUUAAUUGACCUAGGGCAACAAAAACCCUUUAGCUGUCCCUGAUAGUCUAUACUCAAUAACGCAGCACAGCCUAGCAUGAUCUUUAUGCCUGGUAGUUCCAGCGCAUAAAAACGACCUCCUCACAUCUUGCUUUCGAGUCCCUUAGCAACAGUUAUUUAGACAAACAAUUUGCAACACCUUCUGUACUGUCCCAUCUUGUGAGCCAGAUUUCUCUCCCCCACCCCUCUAAGUCUGCACAUGUUGGCACGUUUGAGCAGCUUCAUAAAGCCCAGUAUUCCUCCACAUUAAAAAAACAAAAAAACUGCAUGCAGGCUGUGGGUACAGAGUCAUUGUACCAUAGCACAUACACACCCUGGUUUUUGUUCAGCAGACACACAUACAGUGAGAACUGUACAUACAUCAAAAAACCUGAGUGUCCUCUGAAACCCUGCUCCUUAAUACCAAAGUGGCAGCUCUGUAAGCACCUUUGUUUGUACACUGGCGUCAGAAGCCGCAAACACCAUAAAGUGUGACUUAGAAAUGUUUGCAGACACACACAGAGGGACAUGCACUAGACACGCACCAAGGAGCCCUGAUUGCAUUCAGCCCCCUGGCCUAUGUCCACUUAUGUGUCUCUUAUCAACAUUUUUCUGAGUUUUACAUCUAAUGAGUUUCACACUGAACAUCAGCAUGCAUGUGGCAAAUGCUCUCAGUGCAUUACUUAUCAAACAGCCCCAAAUGCUACAGAUUGUUUUGGACUGCAGGAGUGCAGUACAAGCAUAUAGGCACAAUGAGUCUCUGACAACCUGGAGCAAAUCUACCUGAUAAAUAGCUGAACUAGUUCAUAAGACAAGGAAAACAUCCUCUGGACCUGCUAGAAAGCGUCCCUUGAGGAGGGCUCCCGCCUGCCUGACGCCAUAGCUGGCAUUAUCUGCAGCCUGCAUUUAAAUGCACUGCAGCAGAUCUGCAGUCCUGCCCUCUAAUACAGCAAAAGAUGAAAUCCUAAAGUAUUUUCAAAGAAAUCUAGCCGUUAGAGACCAGUUUUGCUGGUUUGGAUCUGUUACGUUCCAGUGCUUAAUUUGAUGUCAUGCUCAAGGAUGGGCAAUAGCAUAUCAUGAUAUAGACAACAGCUGUAAUUUUCCCCAUGGCUAUAUAUCAUAGCUGGUGAUGCCACCUUUCUCCUGUAGCAUGUAGCUGGGCUCACUUGCCAGAGUCACUUACUUUGCAGACUACCUGCUCUCCCCGUUUGAGGUACACUUUGGUCUCCAUAAGCUGUUAUGUGGAUGGAUACUCCUGUUUUUGUGUGCUAGGGGUUAGCUAAAUAACAUCCUGAGGCCUUAAAAUUUCCACACUGCAUUUCAUGCAGCUCCACAGUAAUACUUUAAUUCACCAAAGAGCAAAAAUAUCUUAAAUCCAUCAUUCCUCCCCUUGUUUCAGUCCAUGUGCUUAUUCCUUAGAAGAACCUAUACUCCAAGCCAUGUUAUCGGUUCUACACAGUGAGUGGCUAUUGUUACAUGUGCUUGAUAUCUGGAAAGGCACAGAUCUCUUCACUUAAAAGGAAAGGGCGACUGCUUGACUUCAUUGCUAUAGUUACUAUGAAAUAUAUAUAUAUAUAUAUAUAUAUAUAUAUAUAUAUAUAUAUACACAACAAACAGUCUUAAAAUACACUUUUCUUUUUCUCCCACUUUUUUGCAACUUAGUCUGCAAUAUAUCUAAAAGGAGACCAUUGAAGUUUGCUGAGAAUCUUGUCACAUUCAUCAAAAUCUCUUCCUCUCCCACCUCAACCUGAAGUCUGAUCUGACAUGUCUAAAUCUCAAUUGAAACGUUUGGUUUGAAAUUGUGUCACAGAAAAGUACUUUUUAUUUAACAUAUUUGAUCCAAUAUACAGAACUACGAGAAUACAGUAUUCCAAUACUCUCCAGGCACAAAGUACGGUACUCAUCUUCCAAGCCACAUUGCAAUUACUUUACAGUCAAUGUCCCCAUCACUGAUCGCAAAUAAUCCUGCUUCCACCUUGUACUUUUUUCUUCACUACUAAGUAUUCACUUACCCAACACAAGACUACAUGAUCAGGCUUCACAAUAAAAGGGCAUGGAUCACAAUCAUUUAGUAUCUAUUUAGUAUCUAUCUAUCUAUCUAUCUAUCUAUCUAUCUAUCAUUUAAAGGUAAAAGUACCCCUGCCCGUACGGGCCAGUCUUGACAGACUCUAGGGUUGUGUGCUCAUCUCACUCUAUAGGCCGGGAGCCAGCGCUGUCCUCAGACAUUUCUGGGUCACGUGGCCAGCGUGACAAGCUGCAUCUGGCGAGCCAGCACCAGCACAGCACACGGAACGCCGUUUACCUUCCCGCUGGUAAGCGGUCCCUAUUUAUCUACUUGCACCCGGGGGUGCUUUCGAAACUGCUAGUUUGGCAGGCGCUGGGACCGAACGACGGGAGCACACCCCGCCGCGGGGAUUUGAACCGCCGACCAUGUGAUCGGCAAGUCCUAGGCGCUGAGGUUUUACCCACAGCGCCACCCGCGUCCCUAUCUAUCAUUUAGUAUCUAUCUAUUUAGAACAUGUUGAAAACAAAGAAGGCUUUGUUUUUACCCCACUAAAAAAAACGACUGGCAGGAACUGAGGCUGCUUAUGUAGGAAAUAGAAGUGCGACUGCUCCUCCCUAAGGAUGGACAAAUCCAUCAGUUUCUCAAUUUCUCAUUUUCCCAACCUUAAGUUCAGUUUGCCCUGUUUCCGUACACUUUUUGCUCCUGGCCCCAAUCAUCACUGGCAUGUGGCCCCCAGAAGGGAAUGUGGCCUUCAGGCUGGAAAAGGCUCCUCAGCCCUAGCUGAUUGGUUCAGGAAAUGUGAAUUAGGUAGGUUUGCAUUAGAAUGUGAACUGAAUGAAUUUCUUCCUCGUCCCUAUUCUAGAUGGGAGGAGCUGCAGCAGAUCUAGCUUCUAAGAGCUGAGUUAUAGCGCAGCUCCAAACUUAAAAUGUAUGGUGUGGAGGUGACCUUUAUCUGGUCCUUACUUCAGCUUGACAGGAGAUGGGACUGACACAGCCCCCGCAAAUCAAUCCAAGCCAGAUGAAAGAAAAGUGUGCUGCCCACAGAAAGAGUCUGCAAAGUAAACAGUCCCCAGUGUCACCAGCUAGGAAGCCUAGCCACAGAGGACACUCGUCACUAAACAGAUUCAAAGUCACUAAUCUGAACAGGGGUGGUGGUAGUAGGCUAUUUUCUGACACCAUACAAAUGUAUGAUCCAUCAGAUCCUGAAUGGGAAAGAAAAAACAAUAUGCAAGGCUACGUUAUAUGAGGCUGUGUACACGCCAUACCUUUAAAGCAUAUGCAAAGCUCAUUCUUUCCUUCAAAGAAUUCUGGGCACUGUGGUUUGCUAAAAGUUGCUGGGAGUUGUAAUUCUGCUACCUAUAUUGGAUGCAAGUCUCCAGAGUCAAUGCAAAUCAACCUUAGAAAAACCCAAACACCAAUAGGUUUGUCCCCACAACAGGCUUUCUGGGUCUGACGUGUCUCCCACAAGAGGAGGGCAAUCCUUACCUAGGAGCUCACACGCAAAAGGCACCUGCCUUUCUGUUCGACACCUUCAAGGACAUGCUGCUGCUGCUGCCAGGAAUAGAGUCCAUCAAAUAUUCAUAAAGCCCAGCUCCACUCCCAAGCCAACUUCGGCAAUCAGGAUUGACCCAGAAUAGAUUCACAGGCAGCAACCUUGUCUUCCUCUCAGCAGAUAAACUACACACACUUUCUCAACCCAGUGCCAGGUCUGACCUCCAGGAGAUUCUUUUGAAGACAGCUCCAGUCCACAAGAAAAGGCUUAGGACAUCACACCACCUGGACUGGGACCUGUGGUUAAUCUGAACUAUGACUGGGUCCAAACAAGCUAACUUCAAACCACAAUUGCUGAAGCUGUUAUACAGGCAACUUUCAUUUUGCACGCGUUUAAAGCAUGCAUGGUCACACAUGUGUGUGCCAUUUGCAGUGUACACUGUACAUGGUUCCCCCUUCCUCAUUUUAUCCUCCCAUUGUGAGGUAGGCUAGGCUGAAAACCAGUGGCAAGACCCAGUGAGCUCCAUGGUUGCGGGGAUUCAAACCCUAGUCUCCCAGGUCCUAAUCUGACACGCUAACCAUUACACCACACUGAGUUCCUUCCUGGAGCAAACAGAAGCAUGGUGGACAGUAAUCAGGAUCAACAGCACCCCCACCCACCCAAGGUUGCUCUUUACCAAAAAGAAGAAACAAAGACACGUGCCUAUCACAUUAUUAACAUAUCGACCCGGUAAUUUGUCUUUUAAUACCUUAUUUUAUAGUUGAGGCAAAAUUUAGCUCUGGAGUACAUCCUAGUGGGAGAGGCUCAUUCAAAGGAUAUGUUUCUCUUUGGAGUGUGGAAGAAAUAAGAUUCAUGGCCUUGAAGGCACAUCAGGCAGCAGGACUGAUCAACAUCAGGGACCCAAUGUAUGUUGCCCUGAGCCCCAUCACAGAAGAAGAGUGUGAUAUAAAUUAAAUAAAUAGGUUGCUCUUCCAGACAACCUGUUAAUUGAGCAUUCACCCUGAUUUGGUUGCUGAGAGGUUUGACAACCUGAUAUUGAAUGAGCAUUCAUCCUGAUUUGCCCUUGUGUUAAGCAAGUGUUAUCUCACACUUUCCAAUGCUUUCCCCCCUCACUUCCCUUAUCACAAAAAGCCUGAUUUUUAGGGAAGCAGGUUUGUUGCACAAGGGUUCCAAAUCAGCUUUAAUUGCAAGACCUGUAUUUUCCAGGAUAUAACUGAAUCCCACCCCAAAACAGCGACAGCCUGGAAGCAACCCCAGGUUAAGCCAGUAAAUUAAAUAAUAAAAUAAAAUAAAAUAAAUAAAAACAAUUAAAUUAAAUAAAGUCACUAGGCUUUGAGUGUGAUGUUGCUUGCACAAGACUUACUUCAUAAUAAGCAUGUUUAGGAUUUACUGUGCCCAUUAAGUAGAUAUGAGUGUUGUUUUUUAUAUGCAUUGGAGGGCAAAACUGUCCCCAGUCCACCUAUACCAACUCCCAUGAUCCCUAGCUAGCAGGACCAGUGGUCAGGGAUGAUGGGAAUUGUAGUCUCAAAGCAUCUGGCGGGCCGAGGUUGAGGAAGCCUGACCCAUACUCACUUAUAUCCAAUGGACACUGGGAGACACAAGCCAGCAGGAUAUUCUCCUGCACAAGCCCUACUGCAAGUGCAAACCAUCAUUCAUUUAAUCCCAAAUAUGGUUAGUGCAGGAUGACGUCCUGAGAUGCACUGUGCUCUUGGUGGCUUUCUUUGCAUGGCCUCUGUGCAAAAAUGCAGGAAAACCACAACGUGAGUCAGCUGGGAAGAAUGGCAAAUUGUAAAGCAUGCUCAUGUUUAUUCAGUUGCAAUUCAUCCUCAUUGUUUUGACGGGACACAAAUUCAUUUGUUAUUCACGGGAAUGGCACAAACGCUCCAUCAGCAUUCGCCGUUAGUUAAUAGCCACUUAGGGUACCGAUUUUCAUGUAAGCUCUUCUAGCAGACACUAUGAAAGGCUUCAUUUGUACAUCACAGGACACUUCCUUCCCCCAUCAAGAACUGGACAAGCUCUUUGAGGCACUGCAUCUCUACCUGCUCACAAAGAAUCAUGGGUGCUUUGAUUUUGUGAUCACCCUUAAAAAAAUGCAUGUAUCUGGAGUUUGGGUUGCCAACUUUUUUUUAAGCUCCUGUGUUCCAACAGAAACUUGAUAUGCAGGAAUUACCAGGUGAUGGGUGCUCAUCUCUAUACUGUGAAAAGCUUUACCGGAUCUUUUUGGAAGAUCAAGUUGCCAUUAAAUGCACAGGAGCAGGCCUAUUCAUUUCCCCACCCUAGUCAGUUGGCAAUCUUGGGAGUUCACAUUUAGGAUUUUCUUUGGCCUUCUAAUAUAUCCCAUGGCAUGGGGGGGGAGGGGAGACAGUGACUCAGUUUGAAGGCCUACAAAGAGCAUAACUGCAAUGCAAAGCAUGACCAGACCCCAAUAGGCUGUGGCUCAGCAUGGUCCAUCUCAUCCACUCUUCUCUUAUUCCAAAUUUCUCAGCUCUGAGUCCUGCUUGGGAGAGGUUUCCUUUAACUAUCACAUCUCCCCAUUCUAGGUCUACUCACACCGGCUGUCGGCAGAGAAAUACAGGCAAGCUGUCUGACAGUGACACCAAUAUGAGGAAGUCACACAGUAAGUGCCUGGCUGUGGCCUAAGCUCCCAACCCCCCAUAGUUCCCUUAUUGUUUAUUUAUUGGUAGUACAUUUAUAUUCCACCUUUUGUCCAAAGAGCUCUAGGUGGUACACACUCUUCGCCCAUUUUAUUCCCACAACCACCCUGUGAGACGGGUUAGGCUGAGUCACAGUGACUGGUCACCCAGUGGGCUUCAUGGCUGAGUAGGGAUUUGAACCCUGGUCUUCCAAGUCCUAGUCCAGCACUCUAACCACUACAUCACAUGGGCUACAUGUUAUGGGGGAGCGAUUAAAGCAGAAGAACAGGGUGCAGUAGAGGCUUUUAAGAGAUGUUAUCAUAUUUGCAGGCAGGCAAAAGCACCUUGUGGACAAUUCAGAGCAGGGCUCCAGGAAAGGUUUGGACUGGAAGCAGGGGAAGGGAAGGGUCUUGAAGUCCGGAUAAAGAGUGCGGAGGACCGCAUUUGGUCCCCAGUUUUGAGUUUUCCCCACCUUUGAAGGGAUGUGGGGCCAUCAAUGGUUAAUAGCCAGUACAACAGUAACCUGCAACACAAUUUUGCCGAGGUGUGGCGUGCUCCUCUUCAGGGUUCCAGCCAGCUAGCCAUGUUCUUUUCCAGUAUUCUCCAUUCGACCCACCCUGUUUCUCUCUCUGUUUUCUAGUUCCGGUUCCCCCAACAGUCAAUGAGAAUUCCUUGCCCACUGUUAUUGGGUUAUUUUGGAUUCCUCCCCACCUCCCAUUUAAGAUUUCCCCUGUAAAGUUUUUUUGUACUUCUAUCAAGGUUGCAGAAGGAUCAGCACUUGCCUGGGAAUUCAGGAAACAGAGGAAACGGCAGCUAAACGGAACUUCCAUGUUCAGAGUCAAUAUAUCUCCAAGUACCAGGUGUUAUGAGCAGAAAAACAGGGUGAGCCGUCACCUUCAGGUCCCUUCAUACAGGCAUCCAGAAGCAUUUCGCAGUUGCUAUUGGAAGCAGAAUGCUGGACUCAGUCUGAUCCAGCAAGGCCAUUAUUCUGAAAUAACCUCUCUCUGAUUAGUUGAGU
rnacentral:lncRNA from 1 species